rnacentral:misc_RNA from 1 species
AGCAGCCGCGGUAAUUCCAGCUCCAAUAGCGUAUAUUAAAGUUGUUGCAGUUAAAAAGCUCGUAGUUGAAUUUCGGGGUUAGCAGGUCGGUCGUGCCAUUGGUAUGAACUGGUCUCGCUGAUCCCUCCCUCUUGACGAACUGUGAUGCCAUUAAUUUGGUGUCGCAGGGAAUCAGGACUGUUACUUUGAAAAAAUUAGAGUGUUUAAAGCAGGCUCACGCUUGAAUACAUUAGCAUGGAAUAAUGAAAUAGGACGUUUGAUCCUAUUUUGUUGGCUUCUAGGAUUGACGUAAUGAUUAAUAGGGAUAGUUGGGGGCAUUAGUAUUCAAUUGUCAGAGGUGAAAUUCUUGGAUUUAUUGAAGACUAACUACUGCGAAAGCAUUUGCCAAGGAUGUUUUCAUUAAUCAAGAACGAAAGUUAGGGGAUCGAAGACGAUCAGAUACCGUCGCAGUCUUAACCAUAAACUAUGCCGACUAGGGAUCGGAUGAUGUUAAUUUUUUAAUGACUCAUUCGGCGCCUUA